GUCCCCAUAGUUUAACGGAUAAAGCGUUGGCCUCCGAAGCCAAAGAUUGGAGGUCCGAUUCCUCCUGGGGACA
rnacentral:tRNA from 1 species